rnacentral:rRNA from 1 species
AGCGAACGCUGGCGGCAGGCUUAACACAUGCAAGUCGAACGGGCACUUCGGUGCUAGUGGCAGACGGGUGAGUAACGCGUGGGAACGUGCCUUUCGGUUCGGAAUAAUCCAGGGAAACUUGGACUAAUACCGGAUACGCCCUUCGGGGGAAAGAUUUAUCGCCGAAAGAUCGGCCCGCGUCUGAUUAGCUAGUUGGUGAGGUAAAGGCUCACCAAGGCGACGAUCAGUAGCUGGUCUGAGAGGAUGAUCAGCCACACUGGGACUGAGACACGGCCCAGACUCCUACGGGAGGCAGCAGUGGGGAAUAUGGACAAUGGGCGAAAGCCUGAUCCAGCCAUGCCGCGUGAUGAUGAAGGCCUUA